rnacentral:rRNA from 1 species
AAUCAACGCUGGCGGCGUGCCUCAGACAUGCAAGUCGAACGCGAAAGUUUCCUUCGGGAGAUGAGUAGAGUGGCGCACGGGUGAGUAACACGUAGGUAAUCUACCUUUGGAUGGGGAAUAACAAUCGGAAACGAUUGCUAAUACCGCAUAAUGCAGCGGCACCUAAUGGUGACAGUUGUUAAAGCGGGGGAUCGAAAGACCUCGCGUCUGAAGAGGAGCCUGCGGCGGAUUAGCUAGUUGGUAAGGUAAUGGCUUACCAAGGCUACGAUCCGUAACCGGCCUGAGAGGGCGGUCGGUCACACUGACACUGACAUACGGGUCAGACUCCUACGGGAGGCAGCAGUCGGGAAUUUUGGGCAAUGGGCGAAAGCCUGACCCAGCAACGCCGCGUGAAGGAUAGAAAUCCCUCGGGAUGUAAACUUCGCAAGAACGGGAAGAAUAAGUGGAAGUUAAUACCUUCCAUGAUGACGGUACCGUUUGUAAG